rnacentral:rRNA from 1 species
UGCCAGCAGCCGCGGUAAUACGGGGGAUGCAAGCGUUAUCCGGAAUCAUUGGGCGUAAAGCGCCUGUAGGUUGUUUAUUAAGUCUGUUGUUAAAGACUAGGGCUUAACCCUAGAAAAGCAAUGGAAACUAAUAGACUAGAGUAUGGCAGGGGUAGAGGGAAUUUCUAGUGUAGCGGUGAAAUGCGUAGAUAUUAGAAAGAACACCGAUUGCGAAGGCGAUUUACUGGAACAUAAUUGACGCUGAGACGCGAAAGCGUGGGGAGCAAACAGGAUUAGAUA